CCUGCACCCAGUGCACGGUCCCCGCGUUAAUCCACACGAGGUCUCCAGGGCGCUGCACGAAGCGGUACACAGGGAUAUUGGAAGCAUAGAGGUCAUCCAGGAUUGGCCACCAGGAACCUGUCAGCUCUAACAGGCUCCCCCAAGGUCAGCCCCGGAGGACCCCAGAGCCACAGGAAGGUUGGCCAUCCGUCACCAGCCCUCUUUCUCCCACUGCUGGUCCGAGCUUCAGCCCCACCACAAGAGUCCUCAGGUGUAUGUGAGGCCACAUGUGCACAGAGAAGGUGCUUAAUGAAUGUCAGAUUCUUUAAGUCAUCAUUGCAUGCAAUGAAAGAUUUAGUUAAGUAAAAGCCUAGAAUGUGCUUUAAGUAACUCAGUGGAAGGAAAAACAUAAGGGUAUAGAUGAAACAAUGAUUUUUAUGUUUUUAUAUGAUUCCCUCUACUUUAAUGCAUGUCUGAAAUCUUGCACAAUAAAGGUCGAAAAAGAGAAA